rnacentral:rRNA from 1 species
UACGUAGGGGGCAAGCGUUGUCCGGAAUCAUUGGGCGUAAAGAGCGUGUAGGCGGCCCGAUAAGUCCGCCGUGAAAGUCCAGGGCUCAACCCUGGAAUGCCGGUGGAUACUGUCGGGCUAGAGUCCGGAAGGGGCGAGUGGAAUUCCUGGUGUAGCGGUGAAAUGCGCAGAUAUCAGGAGGAACACCAAUGGCGAAGGCAGCUCGCUGGGACGGUACUGACGCUGAGACGCGAAAGCGUGGGGAGCAAACAGG